rnacentral:rRNA from 1 species
GAUGAACGCUAGCGGCAGGCCUAAUACAUGCAAGGCGAAGGGGCAGCAAUGUCACUGUCGUACGGGUGCGUAACGCGUAUGCAACCUACCUAUCACAGGGGAAUAGCCUUUGGAAACAGGGAUUAAUACCGCAUAAAGCAGGGACUCCGCAUGGGGAUAUUGCUAAAGAUUUAUCGGUGAUAGAUGGGCAUGCGUCUGAUUAGUUAGUUGGUAGGGUAACGGCCUACCAAGACGAUGAUCAGUAGGGGGCGUCAGAGCGUGGUCCCCCACACUGGCACUGCGAUACGGGCCAGACUCCUACGGGAGGCAGCAGUAGGGAAUAUUGGGCAAUGGAUGCAAGUCUGACCCAGCCAUGCCGCGUGCAGGAAGAAGGUCCUCUGGAUUGUAAACUGCUUUUAUCGGGGAAGAAUAGGUUUCUUGCGAGGGACAGUGACGGUACCCGAUGAAUAAGCCACGGCUAACUACGUGCCAGCCGCCGCCGUAAGAC